GUCAUCCUCAGAGCGGUGUUGGCCCGGGGCCUUCAGUGGCCUUUGUGUCUGGGUAAGAGGAACCCUGGAUGGCCACUCUGCCCUGAGUGUGUGGGUCCCCAGAAGUGCUGGGUUAGGGGGCACGGAGGGCCAGAAAGUCCCCUUUGGAGCGCUGGACUCUCUCGCUGACUCCUACCCCACCCCGGCCUGGGGUUUCAGAGAAGGGGUCCAGGCAGGAGUGUCAUCUUUUCUCAAUGGGGAUGUGGCUUCAGUCUCUGUCCAGGUGGUUGGGAUGUAUACAAAAGUGGCAGUCAACAUGGAGUUGGUGGUGCUGCUACAAUUGUUUUGUUCAAGAUACACAGGAAUUCUGGAGGCACGCGGACCUCCAGUGGCCGGCUCCGGAGGCUUGGUGACUCCAGUGGCCCAGCCUUGAAAAGAUCUUUUGAGGUCGAGGAGGUCGAGACACCCAACUCCACCCCACCCCGGAGGGUCCAGACUCCCCUACUCCGAGCCACUGUGGCCAGCUCCACCCAGAAAUUCCAGGACCUGGGCGUGAAGAACUCAGAGCC
rnacentral:sRNA from 1 species